rnacentral:rRNA from 1 species
UGUGUAGACGGCAAAGUAAGUCAAUUAUUAAAUCUCCUAGCUUAACUAGGAAUCUGUGAUUGAAACUGUUUUGCUUGAGGAUGGAAGAGAGAAGCGGAAUUCUCGGAGUAGCGGUAAAAUGCGUAGAUCUCGAGAGGAACACCGAUGGCGAAGGCAGCUUCUUGGUCCAUUUCUGACGUUGAGGCACGAAAGCGUGGGAGCAAACA